UACGAAGGGGGCUAGCGUUGUUCGGAAUUACUGGGCGUAAAGCGCGCGCAGGCGGCUAUCCAAGUCAGUGGUGAAAGCCCGGAGCCCAACUCCGGAACUGCCAUUGAAACUGUUUAGCUGGAGUAUGAGAGAGGUGAGUGGAAUUCCCAGUGUAGAGGUGAAAUUCGUAGAUAUUGGGAAGAACACCGGUGGCGAAGGCGGCUCACUGGCUCAUUACUGACGCUCAUGCGCGACAGCGUGGGGAUCAAACAGG
rnacentral:rRNA from 1 species